GGAAAUACUAAAGUUCAACAUUGUACAAAAGGUCCAUAGUAAAAUACAUUGGCAUCAUAAACAUAACAGUUUGACUACGGAUAGCUAUUGAUGUUUGCUGGUUUGUACAAAAUAUAGGGGUGUUAAACAGCCCUGGGAAUAUACCCAGAAUGGAUAUAACCACACCUACACUCCACCCUCUUCUCUCAGACUUAUAACAUGUCGAUUUCUACAUUAAUUAUAGAAAUGGAAAUCAGUAACAGACAGAAAAUUCUCUCAAUCAGCUGUCUUCUCACUGUGUGAGCAGCUUUGAGUCACAUGCCACAAUCUUAACGCGGUUAACAGUCUCCUGGCAUUCCUCGCUCUUGAACACAGCAUCUUGUAAGAUAAAAGUCCACACGUUGUCACAGAACCUGUAGGUGUGAAGAUGUCCCUUAAUAGUAACCUUGCUCUUUACUUGAGUCUCCAAAGCUUCAGUCAUUGACUUGUCAAACUGAACGAGAACUUGAAUGGCGUGCUCCGGACUAAGAAUUCCAUUAGAUACCAUUUCAUCAAGUGUUUCAGUCAAGCACAUCCCAAUCGUCGACCUCCUGUAUAGCUCAAAAGUCGCCAUUUUUGAGUCCUUUUUUCGAGAUGAUUGAAGAACGAGAGAGAAAGAGAGAGGGGAGAGAGGAAUUUGUUUGAAGAGAGGGAA
rnacentral:misc_RNA from 1 species